rnacentral:tRNA from 1 species
GCUCCCUUCGUCUAGUGGUUAGGACUCUGGCCUCUCACGCCGGCAACAGGGGUUCGAAUCCCCUAGGGAGCGCCA